UACGUAGGGUGCAAGCGUUAUUCGGAAUUACUGGGCGUAAAGCGUGCGCAGGCGGCUUUGCAAGUCAGAUGUGAAAUCCCCGGGCUUAACCUGGGAACUGCAUUCGUGACUGCAUGGCUGGAGUGCGGCAGAGGGGGAUGGAAUUCCGCGUGUAGCAGUGAAAUGCGUAGAUAUGCGGAGGAACACCGAUGGCGAAGGCGAUCCCCUGGGCCUGCACUGACGCUGAUGCGCGAAAGCGUGGGGAGCAAACAGG
rnacentral:rRNA from 1 species